GUGGGAGCUGGCUUGCCAGCGAUGGCGGUCUGUCAGUCAACAUCGAUGUUGAAUGUGACGGCCUCAUCGCUGGCAAGCCAGCUCCCAC
rnacentral:misc_RNA from 1 species